rnacentral:lncRNA from 1 species
ACAAAACUGUGGGUUCAUGACCUGCUUUACGCCUAUAGUUUAGAAGUCUCUGUCUAGUUAAAAAACUAAUCCACUCGUGGAGUGCAUUUGGUAUAGUAGUUGUAGGGCUGCUAAGCCAGAUAGAAAGCCUUGGAACACCAAGACAGUAGCAAGUGCGGCUACUGGAACACGAUAAGGCGAUGGUACAACCGUGGAAUAAAAGCUGUGCCUCGACAAGAAGCCUCGCAUCUAGCAUGUGGAUUCCAAAGCUGUGACAAAACUGUGGGUUCAUGACCUGCUUUACGCCUAUAGUUUAGAAGUCUCUGUCUAGUUAAAAAACUAAUCCACUCGUGGAGUGCGUUUGGUAUAGUAGUUGUGUGGUAGUUGAGACUCCGACCCUAUCUCUUAAAGCUACGGCAUCCCACCGAUCCUCGCAUUGGCUCUGCUAGUUGGCUUUGCUAUCAAGGCAUAGCAUUCUAUGGACUCUUCCACCACGUCCAGAAAUGGUAUGCCAACACGUUUUCUCCUUAGCCAACCAAAGUUUUCUGAUGGCAAGAACCGCGUUUGCCGUUAAAAGUAAACAGGUUUCCUACGCAGGUAACACCCUAGUCGGAAGACCUAGG